UUUCUAUUUCUACUCUUAACUGCAUAAACUGCUGUUUGUUACAGGUUUGAAGUAAUGCUGAGCAGCUUCACAUCUGAUUUGACUUGAAAAUGCUAUUAGCUCUUCUGAAAGCAAAAUCAACCACUCUCCUGAGAGCUGUAUGAGUAUAAAUCAAAGCCUGUCGAUGCCAUUGCUGCAACAGUGACAGAAACAAAAUAGACAUCUGGUGUGUUUCACUAUAAUAACUUCUCAAUUCAGGAGAACUUUGAAGUACUUCAGGAAUUCCUACCCACAGUUACCUCACAACAGUUUUCUGCUGAAACUACGUCACUUACAGAAGAAGAGGA
rnacentral:lncRNA from 1 species